ACCCAGAGGGACCCACCGAGCCCCAUAGGGAUGCACAGAAACCCCAUAGGGGCACAGAAACCCAUAGGGACCCAGAGAAACCCAUAGGGAUCCCUGUGUCCCCAUAGGGACCCAGAGAACCCCAUAUAGACCCUAGUGACCCUACAGGGACCCAUAGAAACCCAUAGAGACCCACAGAAACCUAUAGGGACACACCAAAGCCCAUAGAGACCCAUAGGGCCACACCAAACCCCAUAGGGGCACAGAGAACCCCAUAGGGACCCACAAGGCCCCAUAAUGGCACUGAGAAACCCAUAGGGACCCAUAGAAACCCAUAGGGACCCAUAGAAACCCAUAGGGACCCAUAGGGACACAUCGAACCCCAUAGGGGCACAGACAAACCCCAUAGGGACCCAGGUAGCCCUAUAGGAGAGCCCCAUAGGGACCCACAGAACCCCAUAGGGAUCCCAGUGUCCCCAUAGGGACCCAGAGAAACCCAUAGAGACCCCAGUGACCCUACAGGGACCCACAGAAACCCAUAGGGAUCCCAAUGUCUCCAUAGGGACCCACAGAACCCCAUAGGAACCCAGGUGGCCCUAUAGGAGAACCCCAUAGGGCCCCACAGAACCCCAUAGGGAUCCCAGUGUCCCCAUAGGGACUCGGAGCACCCCAUAUGGACCCCAGUGACCCUACAGGAACCCAUAGAAACCCCAUAGGGACCCACAGAACCCCAUAGGGAUCCCAAUGUCCCCAUAGGGACCCAUAGAAACCCAUAGGGACCCACAGAACCCCACAGGGACCCAGGUGGCCCUAUAAGAGAACCCCAUAUGGCCCCACAGAACCCCAUCGGGAUCCCAGUGUCCCCAUAGGGCCCCACAGAACCCCAUAUGGACCCCAGUGACCCUACAGGGACCCACAGAACCCCAUAGGGAUCCCAAUGUCCCCAUAGGGACCGAUAGAACCCCAUAGGGAUCCAUAGAAACCCAUAGGGCCCCACAGAACCCCAUAGGGACCCAGAUGGCCCUAUAGGAGAGCCCCAUAGGGACCCAAAGAACCCCAUAGGGAUCCCAGUGUCCCCAUAGGGCUCCACAGAACCCCAUAUGGACCCCAGUGACCCUAUAGGGACCCAGAGAAACCCCAUAGGGACCCAGAGAACCCCACAGGGACCCCGGCGUCCCCACUGGGACCUCGAUGACCCUAUAGGAACACGGAGAACCCCAUAGGGACCCCAUUGUCCUCAGUGGGACCCACAGGACCCUAUAGGAGAACCCCACAGGGACCCCAACUUCCCCAUAAGGACCCAGAUGCCCCCAAAGGGAUUCAGUGGGGCACAGCCAGGGGACCCCCCGAGUGACCCCACCGCCCCACAUGAACCCCACAGCGCCCCACGGACCCCACAGCGCCCCACGGACCCCACAGAGCCCCACGGACCCCACUCACCGCCCUCCACCGCCGCUCCCGUUCUGUUCCCGGAUGUCGCCGCGGCGCCCAAUCAGCGCUCAGCUUUCAAGCCACGUUCCCGCCCCCUUGCCUCUAGCAGCCAAUCGGCGCUCAGUCCACCGCCCCGCCCCGCCCCCGUCGCUAGUGGGCGGGUCUAAAAACCCGGAAGUAUCUCCCGGUCGCUAUGGAGCAGAGCGGCGCAUGCGCAGAACCCAAUCUUCCUUCAGGGGCUCCGUUUGGGCGGGGCGGAACAGGAAGUGACGUCAGAACGGGGGCGGGCGGACCGGAAGUAGGGCCUGAACACGUGGUGUCGUGGGAGGGGGUGGCGGUGGGACGCAUCGAUCCCGUGUGGGCGUGACGCGUGUGUGACACGUGUGUCAUAUGUGGACGUGACAGCCGGACGUGUGUGUGUGUGACAUGUGUCACGUGUGUGCCAUGUGUCACGUGUGUGCCAUGUUCGGGUGACAUGUGUGUCCCAUGUUCAGGUCACAUGUUUGUCCCAUGUUCAUGUGACAUGUGUGUCCCGUGUCCAGGUGACAUGUGUGUGCCAUGUUCGGGAGACAUGUGUGUCCCCUGGCAACAUCACAUGUGUGUCCCAUGUUCGGGUGACAUGUAUGUCCCAUGGCAACGUGACACACGUGUCCCAUGUUCAUGUGACAUGUGUGUCCCAUGUUCAGGUCACAUGUUUGUCCCAUGUUCAGGCAACAUGUGUGUCCCAUGUUUGGGUGACGUGUGUCUCAUGAUCGGGUGACACGUGUGUCCCAUAGAAACGUGACACGUGUGUGCCAUGUUCAGGUCACAUGUGUGUCCCAUGGCAACGUGACACGUGUCCCAUGUUCAUGUGACGUGUGUCCCAUGUUCAGGUCACAUGUUUGUCCCAUGUUCAGGCGACAUGUGUGUCCCAUGUUUGGGUGAUAUGUGUGUCCCACGGCAUCGUGACACGUGUGUGCCAUGUUCAGGUGACACGUGUGUCCCAUGAUUGGGUGAUAUGUGUGUCCCAUGACAACAUGAGACAUGUGUGCCAUGUUCAGGUGACACGUGUGUCCCAUGUUUGGGUGACAUGUGUGUCCCAUGACAACUUGAUAUGUGUGUCCCGUGUUCAAGUUACAUGUGUGUCCUAAGGCAACGUGACACGUGUGUCCCAUGUUCGGGUGAUAUGUGUGUCCAACGGCAACAUGACACGUGCGAUGACAUGCAAUGACACGUGAUGGCACACAGUGACACGGAGAACAUGACAUGUGAUGACACGCGAUGACACAUGAAGACACAUGAUGACACACAGUGACAUGGAAGACAUGAUGACACAUGCUGACAGGCAAUUACACGCAAUAACACACAGUAACACGCAAUAACACGCAGUUACAUACAAUAACUCAUUGUAACAGAUAAUAACACUCAAUAACACACAAUAACACGCAGUAACACACAGUAACACGCAGCAACACGAAAUAACACACAGAAACACGCAAUAACACACAGUAACAUGCAAAAACAUGCAGUAUCACACAGUAACAUACAGUAACACACAGUAACACACAAUAACAUGCAAUAACAUACAGUAACACACAGUAACCCGUGCUAACUCGCAAUAACACGCAGUAACAUGAAAUAACACACAGUAACACGCAAUAACACACAAUAACACAAUAACACACAGUAACACGC
ensembl:lncRNA